rnacentral:rRNA from 1 species
AGAUUUAAAGGUCGAACAGACCUAAUUUAUGAGCUACUGCACCCAAAAUUUUUCUUAAUCCAACAUCGAGGUCGAAAUCUGCUUUAUCGAUAUGAGCUCUCUAAAACAAUUACGCUGUUAUCCCUAAGGUAACUUAAUCUUAUGAUCAUAAAUUAUGGAUCAAUUAAACAUAAAUCAAUGAUUUCAUAAUAAAGAGUUUAUUAAUUCUUUAUGUCACCCCAACAAAAUAUCCUAAUUAAAUAUGGAAUUAAUCAUCAAUAAACCAUAUAAAAUUGAAAUAUUAAGCUCUAUAGGGUCUUCUCGUCCUUAAGAAAAAUUUAAGCCUUUUGACUUAAAAGUUAAAUUUUAUUAUUUAAUAAGAGACAGAUAAUUUCUCGUCAAACCAUUCAUCCCAGCCUCUAAUUAAGAGACUAAUGAUUAUGCUACCUUUGCACGGUCAAAAUACCGCGGCUCUUUAAAUAUCUUGUCAGUGAGCAGGCCAGACCUCAAAUUAUUAGCAAGAGGACAUGUUUUUGUUAAACA